rnacentral:lncRNA from 1 species
GUAGAUGAUUCAUUCCACCCACUUCAACAAUAUAAAACAAAAGAAGUCAUAAUGUAGAUAUUUACGUGUAUGUGUGCAUGUCUCAAAUUCAUUGAUAUAGUCACCCAAACUUAAUAUAAAUUUUUCCAUAAUUUGGUUCAAAGUAAUUUUACUCAAAGAAUAGAUAAUAAAUAUAUAUAUAUAAAAGAUGUUAUGUUUUAGUUAUAAGAAGUUUUAGAAUGAUAAAAAUUAAUGUGGUCUAAGGAAAAAUCCAGUGUCUCUUAAGUACUACCAGGAAAAUGUAACAAAACAGUCUUAAGCAUAUGAUUUCUUGAAUUACUUUGGUUAUAUAUAUGUGGGUGAUCUGUUUAAACAUAAAAAUAAUAAAGAUUCCCAAAAAAGAUAUCAAUCUUUCACCAGAGUUUUACAUUUCUUUAUCUUGGGAAAAAAAAUUCCCUAAAAGUAAACUGAACUCAAUAUGUAAAACAGCAAAAAAGAAACAGAAAAACAGCAAAGUGUCAAACUUGUUUCUGUAAAAAUGUAUUCUCAUAUGCUUGGCACUAUUCCAAAAAGCCCAUUUUUUCUUCUUUUUUCUUAAGGGCAAAGUUGUCUACUUUGCUGAAAUUAAGCUAUUUUGUCUAACUGACAGUGUCACUGAGUGAUAACUUUAUACAUUUGCUUGAGGGCUGAUAGAUGAAUGUUCAAAUUCAAAAUAUGUAAAAGGUUUAGGGGUAUCAAUGUAUAAUUAUUAAAACUCAGGACUACCAAUACACUUAGGAAGACAUCAUAUCUAUAAUUUCUAUUUGAUUAAACAGGCUGUAGCAUACUAGUAAUAUUGUUUCUCUCUCAUUGUAUCCUCACCUAAAUAAUCACUCUGCUUCCAGUGACAAGUUCAAGAAUUCCCACCAACCUUUUACCUUAUCACUUGACUUUUUCCCAUUCCUCAAAUAUUUGAUUCAUUUCUCUUAAGAUGUUAUUUCCUUUGAUUGCAGUAUUUUUUUUAAAAAAUAGGUUCACUGAGAUAUAAUUCAAACAUAACAUUCAUCUUUUUAAAGUGUACAAUUCAGUCAUUUUUAGUAUGGUCACAGAGUUAUACAACCAUCACCACUGAUUUCAGAAUACUUUUGUCACACCAAAAAGACAACUCAUACCCAACUCCAUCUUCUCCUGAUCCCCCAGAAACCACUAAUCUGUUUUCUGUCUCUAUGGAUUUGCCUAUUCUUGACAUUUCAUAUAAAUGGAAUCAUAUAAUAUUGCAGCCUUUGUGUCUGGCUUCUUUCACUUAGCAUAAUGUUUUCAAGUUCAUCCAUGUUGUAGCAUAUAUAACUACUUCAUAUCUUUUUGUAAACAAACAAUAUUCCAUUGUAUAGACACACCACAUUUUUGUUUAUCUGUUCAUCAGUUGAUGGACAUUUGGGCUGUUUUCAUCUUUUUUUUUUUUUGCUAUUAUGAAUAAUGCUGCUAAGUACACUGGAGUACAAGUUUUUAUAUGGAUAUGUUAAUUCUUUGGGGUAUAUACGUAGCAGUGGAACUGCUGGGUCAUUUGGUCAAAAGUUAAAUAAUUCUAUAUUUAACUUUUUGAGGAACUCUAGACUGUUUUCUAGAAUGGCUGUAUCAUUUUAUAAUCCUACCAGCAAUGUAUCAGGGUUCCAAUUCUCCAUAUUCUUGCCAACACUUGUUUUUUUUUUUUUUUUUUUUUUGAGAUAGUCUUGCUUUGUUGCCCAGGCUGAAGUGCAGUGGCACAAUCAAGGCUCACAGCAGCCUCAAUCUCCUGGGCUCAAGUGAUCCUCCCACCACAGCCUCCUGAGUAGCUGUCUACAAGUGCAUGCCACCAUGCUUGGCUAUUUUUUAUUUUAUUUUUUGUAGAGACAGGGGCUCACUGUGUUGCUCAGGCUGAUCUUGAACUCCUGGACUCAAGCAAUCUGCCGGCCUCCACUUCCUAAAGUGCUGGGAUUACAGGCGUGAGCCACCAUGGUUGGCCCUGUUUGUCUUUUUGAUAUUAGUCAUUUUCAUUGGUAUAAAGUGGUAUUUCAUUGUGGUUUUGAUGAGCAUUUCCCUAAUAACCAAUGAUGUCGGUUAUUAAUUAAUUAAUGUUGAGCUUUUUUUUAUGUACUUGUUAGCCACUUGUGUAUCUUCUUUGGAGAAAUGUCUAUGCGAAUCCUUUGCCCAUUUUUAAAUUGGGUUAUUUGGCUUUUUAUUGUUGAGUUGUCUGGAUAAAAAUCCCUUGUCAGGUGUAUGAUUUACAAACAUUUUUUUCUCAUUCUAUGGGCUGUCUUUUCACUUACCUGAUGUCCUCUGAGGCCCAAAAAUGUUUAAUGCUGAUGAAAUCCAAUUUAUGUAUUUCUGGUAUUUGUGCUUUUGGUGUCAUAUCUAAUGAAGCAUUGCAUAAAGGUCUUCAGUUUUGAAUGGAAGAUAUUUUUUAAAAAUUCUGUUAUUAAAUUUUAUAUACAAAUGAUAUCAUAUAAAUAAACAAACAUACCCACAUCUCGCAAAACAAUUAAGAAUUCAGAUUCUGGUAGUCCAUAGGCAUUAGAAGGUUCUUCUAAAACAGUGUAUAAACUCCCACAUGGACAAAAUUCCAUAAUAAGUACUUUAUGUCUUGUUGUUGUCUGAAAAAAAAAAUCAUUGAUUGGGAAUCAACAUAAAAAAUAAAUUUUGAUUAUAUGCCAGUACUUAUCUGAUUUCAUUUAAAUGUAGGAUUUGCUACAAUGAUGAAGGCACUUUGCUUCACCUGAGAUUCAGUAUCUGUUGAACAUACACAUAUAAGAAUUAAUAUCUUCCGGCCGGGUGUGGUGGCUCACGCCUGUAAUCCCAGCACUUUGGGAGGCUGAGGUGGGCGGAUCACGAGGUCAAGAGAUUGAGACUAUCCUGGCCAACAUGCUGAAACCCGGUCUCUACUAAAAAUACAAAAAUUAGCUGAGUGUGGUGGCACAUGCCUCUAGUCCCAGCUACUCAGGAGACUGAGGCAGGAGAAUCACUUGAACCUGGGAGGCGGAAGUUGCAGUGAGCCGAGAUUGCACUACUGCAGUCCAGCCUGGUGACAGAGCGAGACUCCAUCUCAAAAAAAAAAAACAAAAAAAAAAAACUAACAUUUUCCAAAUUCCUAUUAGGUGAAGAAGUUGGAUUUGUUUUUGAAGACAAACCACAGUAAAAAGUAGCUAAAUCUGAACUACAAAAUCAUUGGUACAAUGUUACAAUGGUUUUGUUAAAAUCAUCUUAAAUUCCUUUCUUUUUUUUUUUUUUUGAGACAGAGUCUUGCUCUGUCACCCAGACUGGAGUGCAAUGGUACGAUCUUGGCUCACUGCAACCUCCACCUCCAAGGUUCAAGUGAUUCUCCUGCCUCAGCUCCCAAGUAGCUGGGAUUACGGGCAUGCUCCACCAUGCCUGGCUAAUUUUUCUAUUAUUUUGUAGAGACGGGGUCUCACUAUGUUGCCCAGGCUAGUCUCGAAUUUCUGGGCUCAAGCAAUCUGCCUGCCUCAACCUCCCAAAGUGCUGGGAUUGCAAGCAUGAGCUACCACACCCAGUCACUUGAAUUUCUUUCUUUCCUUCUUUUUUUUUUUUUUGAGACAAAGUCUCGCUUUGUCACCCAGGCUGGAGCGCAGUGGCGCGAUCUCGGCUCACUGGAAGCUCUGCCUCCCAGGGUUCACGCCACUCUCCAUUCUCCUGCCUCAGCCUCCUGAAUAGAUGGGACUACAGACGAGUGCCACCACACCCGGCUAAUUUUUUUGUAUUUUUAGUAGAGACGGGGUUUCACCAUGUUAGCCAGGAUGGUCUCGAUCUCCUGACCUCGUGAUCCGCCCACCUCGGCCUCCCAAAGUGCUGGGAUUACAGGCGUGAGUCACCACACCAGUGCUGAAUUUCUUAUGUAUAACAGUACAUUUAGGACAACAGCUCUUCUAACCUCUUAAAAUGAAAUUUUUCUUAUGAUGACUACUGUUACUUCAAGGAAUGGAGUCCUAUCCUUAAAAAUAAAUGGGUAGCAGAACAGCUGAGUGGUCCCUCUUGCAGCAAAGCUCCAGUCUGCUCAUUUGCAUCUGAGAUGCUGAUUUGUUUUAAACCUUAAUUUUAAUGUACCAUUGAUUAUAAUGCUUCAUCAAUUUAAUAACAGCAUUACGGGGAAAAAGAAAUACCAUCAAAUUAUAUAUACACAAUGAUUAUAAGAUGCAUGACAAUUUCAGAAUCUGAAAAUCUGAAUGAGUCUUAAAAUCUACUAUUCAUCUCCAACUUUUUAUCCUUUGUUUCUUUUCUAAUUUUUUUCUACAUAUCUCCAAAACACUUUUAUAAAAUAUUUUAAAUUACUCUCUGGCAGUCAUUUCAAAAAAGAGAGAGAAAUAAUCAUAGUAGAAAAAAAAAACUGUUGCUUUUAAAUGAUAAUGUAUGUUGAUUGUUGAAAAUUUGGGAAGUAUACAUAAUUCCAUUACCUGGAGAUAAUGAAUUAAUAUUUUGGCGUAUUUUCUUUCAGUCUUUUUUCUAUGGAUGAAAUAAUGUCAUAGAUACAUAAUGCUGUUUGCAUAUUACACUGUAUAUGUUAAGAUCAUACUACAUAUAUAUUUUUAAUCCUGAUUCUUCUCACAUAACAUCAUAUAUAAGGUGUUCCAAGAAGAUUAAAAUUUUGGUAAAUAUCUCUUUUCAUUACCACUUAACUAUUGUGUGGUAAAAAAUUAACUUUACCCAAAGAGAAGUCAGGCUUUGCCCUUGGCUACUGGACAGUGAUCUCUGGCCCCUAAAAUGUCCUAUCUGAAAGAACAAGACUUCUGUCUUUGUUCCUCUGGGGGCUUUGGCCACUGGAGAGUCUCACAGCAUGAUUUAGGAUGGGGGCUUAAUGGAGACUAAAGGAAUUACCCCAAACUUCUGGAAGGAGCUGGGGACUAAAGGUCAGCAAUACAGGCAAUAAAUGAUCCAGCCUCAGUAAAAACCCUGGACACCAAAGGCUUGGGUGAGCUUCCCUGACUGGCAAUACUUCAUGCAUACUGUCAUACAUCAAUGCUGAGAGAGUAAUGUGUCCCUCAGGACAAAGAAGCUUCAAGAUUGGAACCCUCCCACAUUCCACGCUUUGUGUCUCUUCCUCUGGCUGGUUCUAAUUUCUAUCUUUUUGCUACAAUAAAACUGUAAUUAUAAGUAUAGCACUCUCCUCAGUUUUGUGAGUCAUUUCUACAUUCCAGCAAAUUACCAAACCUGAGUGUCAUGGGCAACCCCCACAUUUGUAGCCGGCUGGGAUGAUGUGAGGGUAAUCUUGUGGGAACUGUUCUCUCUGUGCAGUUUGCCAAACUCCUUUGCAAUUGGUAUCAAAAGUCUUGAGCAGACUUGGCAGUGUGGAAGGCUAUGCUCUUAAUCUUGAGUUUGGCUAAUUCCAGGUAACUAUCUGCCACACAUUCUAAUUUAUUCAACUUAUUUAACCAUUCUUUAUUAUAAACAGGAUGCCAAUUAACAUCUUCAUGCAUAAAAUUAUAUUUCUGAUUACUUCCUAAGAAAUAAUCACUAAAAAUAAAAUCACUCGGAUAAAGAGUAUAAACUACAUUUUUUCCCAAAGAUUUUAUUGAUUGCUCAUGUUUAAAGGGAUUAAAAUAAUUUCUAUUUCCAUUAUUUCUAGAUUACUUUUCCUAAUGACAUUCUUAAUUCCACUAUUUCCCCUUAAAAAAAUCAAUUCUUUUAUAAUUGGACUUCAUAUCUUAAACUGUAGGACUCUUGAAAUUUUUAUUCAUGAAAUACAAAAUUUUUAUUUUUUUAAAGUUCGAUUUUUUCUUUUUAUAAUUAUUUUUUCUCUUUAUAAUUAUUAGAUUUAACUUGUUACCUUUCUUUUUCUAGUAAUAAUACUGGUAACCAUAUUCAAUACCCUUUUAUUUCCUUCUUUCUUUUUUUUUUUGAGACAGGGUCUCACUCCAUCACCCAUGCUAGAGUACAGUGGCACAAUAUGGUUCACCAUAGCCUUGACCUCUCAGGCUCAGGUGAUCCUCCCACUUCAGCCUCCUGAGUAGCUGGAACUACAGGCGUACACCUCCAUGCAUGGCAAAUUUUUGUAUUUUUUACAGAGACAGGGUUUUGCCAUGUUGCCCAGGCUGUUCUUGAAUUCCUGAGCUCAAAUGAUCCUUUCUUUUUUUUUUUUUUUUUUUGAGAUGGAGUCUCCCUCUGUUGCCAGGCUGGAGUGCAGUGGUGCGAUCUCAGCUCACUGUGACCUCUGCCUCCUGGGUUCAAGCAAUUCUCCUGUCUCAGCCUCCCAAGUAGCUGGAACUACAGGUGCGCACCACCAUGCCAAGCUAAUUUUUGUAUUUUUAGUAGAGACGGGGUUUCACCACAUUGGCCAGGCUGGUCUCAAUCUCUUGACCGCAUGAUCUACCUGCCUCGGUCUCCCAAAGUGCUGGGAUUAUAGGUGUGAGCCACUGCACCCAGCCGCAGCCGGCCGCCCCCUUUUAUUUCUUACACUACUGUUUCUGAUUCCAUUUUUAUGAUAUUUUAUUUCUAUUGUUCUAUAUAUUCAAGAAUCCUUUAGGAUAAAGUAUUUGGUUGUACAAACCCUAAUUUUCAACAGUUUUUUAAAAAAUCCAUUUUUUAAUAUUAGGUUCUAUUUCUUGACUCGUAACUACAAUAAAUAUAAGAUUGAAGUUUUACUACUUACCUCCUCUUCAAUAGCAAAUAAUUUGACAAUAUUUUUGUGAUUGAGUUUUUUCAACACUUCAAAUUCUCUCAUUUGAACAUCCACUGGACGAAGGAAGCUUAUGUUAUUAAAUACUUUGAUAGCAAAUAAAUCACCAGUUUUCUUUAAAAAAGAGAGAGAAAUGUUUUAUUUAUUCAUAAUAUUGUAAAAGAGAUUAAAAGGUAGCAUUAGAACUCGCUAUUGCAACUUAUUUUCUUACAGAACAUCAUGCAUCUUUUAGGCACAGGGAAUCUGUAUGAGGACUUUUGACUUUUCUAAAAAGUUAAAAUGAAUCAAUUAACUGCUCAACAUUUCUUUCAAAUUACACCUUUUGGAAUUCAGAAAUGGAUAUUUUCUUUCAUAUUAUAAAUAAACCUUUCAUGAGGAUACAGUAGGGGCAAAAAUAGUCACACAUCAGAAGAUAAAAGCCAUAAUAGUAUCAAAAGCAAAAUCAUCUUUUAAAGACGAAAUAGAAAGUGAAACUCAUAAGGGCUUCUCCAAGGCCUAAUAAUUUUAAACUAAUCAAAGCAGGAGAGAGAGACUGAACACUAUAUUCCACCUAUGAGAUUUUUAUUAAGAAUAUCAAAGUAAUACAGUUAACUUUUCAGAAUUAUUUUGUAGCUAGGACAACGUGGGGGAGGGGAGUGGGGAAAGCAGGAGUUGCAGAGCGAGGCUAAAGUAGACUUCCUGGUUGGUUUCUGCCCCUGCUGCCCUGGGUUACUUUCUGCAAUUCUACCUAGAUGACCAGGGCAGGCUGUUCCUUCACAGACCCUCUCUAGAGGAGUAAAGGCAUUUAUUUCUUCUUCUCUACUGAUGUACCACAGCAUCCCACUCUCACUCUUUCAUGACCUACAUCACACACAAAAUUACAAAGCACAGCUGUAGUUGGGAGGGAAUCUUAGAGGUUCAAAACACAUGCUUACAUUUCAGGCAAACAUCAUAUUUAUAUGUUCUUCUUAUUAACCUUCCUUUAAGAUUGUCUUUCAGACCCUCUCACUUCCUUCCAAUCACUCUAAUGAGCAAGCCUCUCCCUCGUGGCCAGUCCAGAUCUUGAGUUUAGCCUUACAUUUUCCCCCAUUUAUCCAAGGUUGAACUUCCCUAGAGCAAGCAGGAAAAUCCUUUUCUCUUUGAGCUUGGGGUUCAAGCACAUUUCAUGGCUAAAGACAUUUCAUGGCUCUCUGUCAGGACCUCUGUACUGUUCCUGCUUUGGAGCCCUCUUUAUACUUUCCUCAGAUUCACCACUUAGAGCCAUCACCCUCCUCUCUCACUCCAGAAUCGCAUGAUCCUUUUCUUAAGGCCAUUUAACUGCUUCAUAAUCCUAUGUGAUUCCCCUCACCCUGGUCAUGCAAAAUACACAAAUUGAUAUAUAUUCUUUCUAGAGGAAGAUGAAAGAUCAAAGAGCCAAUGACCAUUUUCACACAUAUGAAAAGAGAAGAAUUUAAGUACAGUUCAGUUUCACUGUUUUUCCCUCAGUUCAGCAAGGGUUAAGACACUGCCAAAUCUAUGCAUCACCCAACAGAGUGAUUUUUCUUAAGCUGAGACAGGCCUCAAACUCAGUCUAAAACUAGGAGAAUCCUAACAGAGGAGCAAGCAGGGAAAAUAAUACAAUUUUGCAAUAUACCCACUGACCUCAUGGUCAUUAUUUUCCAAACUUGUGUAGACUACAUCAUGCCUGUGAGAUUAUCGGGAUCCAGGUGGAAACGUACUAUUUUCCCUUUAUUCACCUACACAGUCAUCUAUUAUUCACUAAGUCAAAGUGUAUACAAAUAAUAGAGAUCCAUAUAUAUAUAUAUAUAUAUGUAUAUAUCCAUAUGUGCAGAUCAACACAUCCUUCAAGUCUCUUCCCUUAAACUUCACCAUGGUAAUCACACACAUAUACACACACCCACACUCAUACUUUAGUAACUAAAAGCAAUUUAAUAAAAAACAGAUUAAGUAGGUAAUAUACUUUGAAUAACAAGUAAUAAAUGUAAGAAUUUGGUCAUUCUAAGAAAUAAUAUAAAAGGGCUAAUAUCAUGGUAAAAAUCCUUUAAAUAGUUAAAGGGAAGCAGGAUUUUUUGUAGGAUAUAGUCCUAAACAGUUGCAACUGCCAUCAUUAAGAACAAAUAUGGUUUCUCAAAGCACAUCCCUAGGAAAACUGUUGGGGACUAAAUACUAGACUGGGCCUUGGCAAUCUUUUUCGUGUGUGUAUGUGUGUGUGUGUGUGUGUGUGUGUGUGUGUGUGUUUAGUAGAGACAGGGUUUUGCCAUGUUGCCCAGGCUGGUCUCAAAACUCCUGGGCACAAGCAACCUACCUGCCUUGGCCUCCGAAAGUGCUGGGAUUACAGGCGUGAGCCACCAUGCUCGACUUCACAAUCUUUUAAUUAAUUCUUAUACUUCUGAAAUUCUCAUUUUAGAUUUCCACACUAUAAUGGGUAAAGUACAUAUUUGUUUCCUUUGGAGAACUUUAGGUUGUCUUGGGGUAGUCUAAUCAGUCCUCAUUCAUUCACUUAUUCUUUCAUUCAGCAAACAUUUACAGAGUGCAUACUAUGUGUAGUCACUUACAUGAAGAACACUGAGUAUCUAAGUAAGGAAAGAGGAGCAGGAUAUGUGACGUAUCUUCUAGUGCCAGGCCCUUUCAAUAUGUCUCAUCCAGUCUCUAUCACUAUUGACUAUCUCUCAUCCCAUCAGCUUCCACUUUACUUCCUUUCUAAUCAAUCUUGCUACUAAACUCGAAACUGUGUCCAGUUAAUGUGCAGUAUAGCUAACCGCACAUUAGCUAUAGUAAUAUUCACUAGGUCUGCCAUAGUGCCUGACACAUACCAAGUGAUUAUUAAAAGUUUGUUAAUUUGGACUACAGGAAGAUAAGAUGAUCAGACGUGUUCUCAAUGCUAAAUUCUGAGGCACUAGUCAUUUUCUCCUUGGCAUAAAACAAAAGCAAUUUCUAGGACGGAGUACCCAGGAUUGAUCGCAAGUAAUCUGAAUAAGAAUCCAGAGCUUGUGGAUAAUUCUAGAUACAGGGGGAGGAAAGCUAAAAGUUGUCUGUAUGGUACUUCUGAUUCAUUCUCUAUGAGCCAUAAAGGGUGUUUAUAGUCAAUAUUCUCUCCCCAGAGGAAACAGCCCCUCCCCCAUGUACGCUUAUCUCAUCGUCACUGACAGAACUGACUGGUAGUCUCAAGAAUACAGGAAAAGAGGAAGCAAUUCCUCUCUACUAAAACGUUUAGGGCCCUGUUUCUGAAAAUAAGGAUUUAGGAAGCUCCAAACAUCAUUUAGCUCGAAACAAAUUCAUAGCACUGAAAAAUUAGUUAUUAUUUGUAUUAUAAAUGAACUUUGUACUCCAUUUUUCCAGCUUCUUUCUCAGACUCCAUUUCUCCAGCUUUUUCCCAGAAUAGAAAGUUUAAUUAUCUUCAAUUUCUUAAUUUUAAAUUAUUUUAACUAUUUUAAAUUUCAUCCUCCACAUUGAAUCUAAACAAAAUCCUUUUUUUUUUUUUUUUAAUUGAGUCUUGCUCUGUCACCCAGGCUGGAGUGCAGUGGUGCUAUCUUGGCUCACUGCAGCCUCCGCCUCCUGGGUUCACA